rnacentral:sRNA from 1 species
GUAAAUUUCUAGAGGCCCAAUAGUUAAUUCGAGUAAUGGGCUUAGUAAGUCUCUUCAAUGUUUGAUCGACAAGUACAAGAAUCUUUAUCAACGGUUCGUAAAAAUUGUCUACGGUGAUAGAAAAGAUGAGGCUGUAACUAGGGUUAAAGUAGAUGAUAGCCCGCAAAAAACAGAGUCGGAUAAGAUCAAUUUGGAGGGAAAAAGGAAGAGAGGAAUGUUGCUGGACCAACCUGAGAGACCUCUCAAGAAAAGGAGAAAAUUUGCUAUAAGCUAAUCCAUAAGAAAAAACAAAGGCCGGUCUCAUCAAAAGUACUAAACAACACUUGUGUUGUGUAGAGUUAUGAUAUCUAGGGACAUAAAAAUCUAACCGAUAUCGAGGAAGAUAUGUACAAAUGCGAAGAUCAGAUGUUCGAGGUAGAUAUAUUGAUGGGAGCUCUAACAAGUGUAGUGGAGAGUGCAUAAGAAGUUAUUAAGGGAGAGAUGAAACCAAAAGAUCUUGGAGAGAAGUUCUACAAAUGUGUAGAAAUGUUAUAUGGUGGAGAUAUGUUUGAAAUAGUGACAGAAGAUCAUCAAAGAGUUUUACCUAUGAUCGUGAGCCAGUUGAAACAGAAACUGCGUCAUGUCACGGCUGCAAGAGAGAACUUGAAAUCUGUCUGGAAGCAAACUAUUGAAAAGUUUUCUGCAAAGCAAAGAGGUUCCACUCCACAAGAAUCUCAAGUAAAGACAACAACAAUCUGGUUUUAGAAUGUAAUUUUCAUUAGGUUAAUAUGGUAUUGGUGUUGGUUGUGUUUUUUUUGUUUAGCUAAAUGUAGACAACCGUCUUUAUAGAUUUUAAAUCGGGUAUAUAAUUGUGGUUAUCAGUAUCUAACUUAUUUUUCAACUAAAUUAAUUUUUU